CUGCUGCCUCCCGUAGGAGUUUGGACCGUGUCUCAGUUCCAAUGUGGGGGACCUUCCUCUCAGAACCCCUAUCCAUCGAAGACUAGGUGGGCCGUUACCCCGCCUACUAUCUAAUGGAACGCAUCCCCAUCGUCUACCGGAAUACCUUUAAUCAUGUGAACAUGUGAACUCAUGAUGCCAUCUUGUAUUAAUCUUCCUUUCAGAAGGCUGUCCAAGAGUAGACGGCAGGUUGGAUACGUGUUACUCACCCGUGCGCCGG
rnacentral:rRNA from 1 species